rnacentral:rRNA from 1 species
CCUACGGGAGGCAGCAGUAAGGAAUAUUGGUCAAUGGGGGCAACCCUGAACCAGCCAUCCCGCGUGAAGGAUGACAGCCCUAUGGGUUGUAAACUUCUUUUAUAUAGGACGAACUCCCGAGAUUCAUCUCGGGCUGACGGUACUAUAUGAAUAAGCACCGGCUAAUUCCGUGCCAGCAGCCGCGGUAAUACGGAAGGUGCAAGCGUUAUCCGGAAUCACUGGGUUUAAAGGGUGCGUAGGCGGCGCAGCCAGUCAGAAGUGAAAGCCUGCGGCUUAACCGUAGAAUUGCUUUUGAUACUGUUGUGCUUGAGUCAGGUUGAGGUUGGCGGAAUGUGACAUGUAACGGUGAAAUGUGUAGAUAUGUCAUAGAACACCAAUUGCGAAGGCAGCUGACUAGACCUUGACUAACGCUGAGGCACGAAAGCGUGGGGAGCGAACAGGAUUAGAUACCCUGGUAGUCCACGCCCUAAACGAUGCUAACUCGAUAUGUGGACUUCGGUCUGCGUGUCCAAGGGAAACCGCUAAGUUAGCCACCUGGGGAGUACGUCGGCAACGAUGAAACUCAAAGGAAUUGACGG